UACGUAGGGUGCGAGCGUUAAUCGGAAUUACUGGGCGUAAAGCGUGCGCAGGCGGUUUGUUAAGACAGAUGUGAAAUCCCCGGGCUUAACCUGGGAACUGCAUUUGUGACUGGCAAGCUAGAGUAUGGCAGAGGGGGGUAGAAUUCCACAUGUAGCAGUGAAAUGCGUAGAGAUGUGGAGGAAUACCGAUGGCGAAGGCAGCCCCCUGGGCCAAUACUGACGCUCAUGCACGAAAGCGUGGGGAGCAAACAGG
rnacentral:rRNA from 1 species